rnacentral:misc_RNA from 1 species
GAAAUGCGAUAAGUAAUGUGAAUUGCAGAAUUCAGUGAAUCAUCGAAUCUUUGAACGCACAUUGCGCCCCCUGGUAUUCCGGGGGGCAUGCCUGUUCGAGCGUCAUUUCACCACUCAAGCCUCGCUUGGUAUUGGGCGACGCGGUCCGCCGCGCGCCUCAAAUCGACCGGCUGGGUCUUCCGUCCCCUCAGCGUUGUGGAAACUAUUCGCUAAAGGGUGCCGCGGGAGGUCACGCCGCAAAACAACCCCAUUUCUAAGGUUGACCUCGGAUCUGGUAGGGAUACCCGCUGAACUUAAGC